GGAGAUGUUGAGCUGCACGGUCGUCCUCGUGGUCACACUGGCCGCGGGCAGAGUCACCUGACAGCUGAGGGCGGUGCCGUGGUCCUGGGGCCGCGGGGUGAGGACGAAUGACCCUUCGUCCUUCUUCUGGGCGUCUCUGAUGUCCAGGGAGCAGUUGUUGGCUCGCGGAUCCCCAGUGAGGUGGAAUCGGCCCUUGGUUUCCUUCUCCACCGGUUGACUUGGAUCAUUUGUGGCCACCACAACAGUCUGUCUUGUAAACCCAGCCUUUUCCCGGAACCAGUAGCCGUGAGCUGCGUCCAACUCAGUCUGGUCUUCAUAGGGGUGGGUGAACUCACAGGGCACAUGGACACACAGGCCCUCCUGCACCGUUACCGGGCUCUGCACCUUCAAGGAGUAAGCCUCUCCCCACACCCCCUCCUGCACCCAGAGCAGCAGCAGCACAGGCAGCAGCAGCAGCAGCAGCAUGUCGAUCUGGAGCUGCGGGUCCACCCAGGGGAGUCUGCUCCUCCUCCAGCCUCUACUCUGAGGAACCCAGAGCUGCAGGACCUGCAGGAGGCCCCACAGGAAGAAGGGUGUGAAAAUGGGUCGCCUCUGACCAGACCCCCAAGUCACCCCUGAGGCCAUCGACAUUUGCGGAGUCUGGGGUGGGACCCAGGGACAGGAUGGAUGGAGAGGCCCAGUCACGUGAGCCACAGUCUCCCCUCCCCUGCUCAGCAGCCACAGUGGACACACCCUCCUUGCACAGUGAGGUCAGCACAGCAGACCUGGACUCUGUCCCCAAGGGGCCACCACCCCAAGGGGAGACCAUGAAUCUCCCAGCAUCCAGAGCUCUCAGGAGCCUCAGUGUGGGGUGCACAGGUGGGGCAGAGGGUUGGUCUCACCCAGG